rnacentral:rRNA from 1 species
GGAUUCCCUUAGUAACUGCGAGUGAAGAGGGAAAAGCUCAAAUUUAAAAUCUGGCGGAUUGAUGCCGUCCGAGUUGUAAUCUAGAGAAGUGUUGCCAGCACUGGACCAUGUAUAAGUCUCCUGGGAUGGAGCGUCAGAGAGGGUGAGAAGCCCGUAUUGGACAUGGACUACCAGGGCAUUGUGGUAUGCUCUCAAAGAGUUGAGUUGUUUGGGAAUGCAGCUCUAAAUGGGUGGUAAAUUCCAUCUAAAGCUAAAUAUUGGCGAGAGACCGAUAGCGAACAAGUACCGUGAGGGAAAGAUGAAAAGAACUUUGGAAAGAGAGUUAAACAGUAUGUGAAAUUGUUGAAAGGGAAACGUUUAAAGUCAGCAAUGUUGGUGAUGGAUCAAGCCAGCAAUUAUGCUGGGUGUAGUUCAUGAUCAAUAGGUCAACAUGAGUUUUGACUGGUUGAAAAAAGGCAGAAGAGAAUGUGGCACCUUUUGGGUGUGUUAUAGCUUCUCGGUCAUAUAGAUCAGUGAAGACUGAGGAAAAGCAGUGCGCCUGUAAAGGCAGGGUUUCGACCACGUUCGUGCUUUAGGAUGUUGGCAUAAUGGCUUUAAGCGACCCGUCUUUGAAACACGGACCCAAGGAGUCUAACAUGCAUGCGAGUGUUCGAGUGGAAAACUCUAACGCGCAAUGAAAGUGAAAGUUGAGAUCCUCAGUAAUGGGGGAAGCAUCGAUGCCCGGACCAAA